GGCUUUGACACCAACUCUGGUUAUCAUUAUUUGAUUGGAUGUUAUUUCUCAAUAUUCAUCAGUUUGUGUUUUUGCUUAUUGUAGGCAUGCAAUGACCAUUGGUAUGAAGUGCACAAUGAAAAGGUUGUCGAGAAAACAUUCGAUGUUGUGAUGAAGCAGCAGGCCUGCUCUUUGUUCUACAUCCGAACGAAGAAAUCUGAACUGAAAACAUUUCCACUGAAAAAGAAGGACCCUGCCUUAUGAAAGCAUCUGAUGAGAAAAGUCUGGCUUUGGGAAAUUCAUGAAGUUUCAUGUCAAGCACACUCUGAAAAGAGAGUUGAUGAAAACGAAAAAGAUCAUCAUCCACAAAGAACAAUGAUUGAAGAAAAACAACCUGUCACAGAAAAAGCAAGCUUCGGAAAGAAACGAAAGAUGAUAUGCUUUACAUUCAUGCAUUUUCACAUAUUGUCGGACCUCGCUAUUCGCGGGCGUUCCUUACUGUCGGCACUCAAAUGCCGUGAAUGUCAGGGUCCACGAAUGUCGGAGCAUUGGGUUUUUUUGUUUUUUUUUACAUGAUCUAUGCUCACGGAAGAGCAAUUACACAGAACAAAUCAGGAGACAACAUACCAAAGGGAACAGCAGGAGAAAGGGGGAACACCAACAGCAGGGUGGAGGGAGAAAAUAUAUGGAGAUGGACAACCAAAAGAUGCAGGUAAUGACGGGGGGUGGGGGGGUAAGGGACAACAUGCAAUGGGUGGGCAAUAUG
rnacentral:lncRNA from 1 species